UUGGUUAUAACAACAAACACUCGAAUCGUUGCUAGACAGAAGGUGCUAUUGCAAUAAUAUAUAGUCGUUGCAAUGUAGGGGAACACAUGGUUGCAAUAGAUGAGUUUGUGGGUGCCGCCAGCUUGGUUAUGUUGGUAGGCCUUUAUUUUCUCCCACACAUAUGGCAGGCCUUUCUUUCACAAGCUGAGAGGCCUAAUUCUGAUCUAUCUCCUAGUAUCGCC
rnacentral:lncRNA from 1 species